UAGGGAAUCUUCCACAAUGGACGAAAGUCUGAUGGAGCAACGCCGCGUGAGUGAAGAAGGUUUUCGGAUCGUAAAACUCUGUUGUUGGAGAAGAACACGUUUGAGAGUAACUGUUCAGACGUUGACGGUAUCCAACCAGAAAGCCACGGCUAACUACGUGCCAGCAGCCGCGGUAAUACGUAGGUGGCAAGCGUUAUCCGGAUUUAUUGGGCGUAAAGCGAGCGCAGGCGGUUUCUUAAGUCUGAUGUGAAAGCCUUCGGCUUAACCGAAGAAGUGCAUCGGAAACUGGGGAACUUGAGUGCAGAAGAGGACAGUGGAACUCCAUGUGUAGCGGUGAAAUGCGUAGAUAUAUGGAAGAACACCAGUGGCGAAGGCGGCUGUCUGGUCUGUAACUGACGCUGAGGCUCGAAAGCAUGGGUAGCGAACAGG
rnacentral:rRNA from 1 species